UACGUAGGGACCGAGCGUUGUCCGGAAUCAUUGGGCGUAAAGAGCGUGUAGGCGGCUAUUUAAGUCCUGCGUGAAAUCCUGCGGCUCAACCGCAGACGGUCGUGGGAAACUGGAUGGCUAGAGUGCGGGAGAGGAGAGUGGAAUUCCCGGUGUAGCGGUGAAAUGCGCAGAUAUCGGGAAGAACACCCGUGGCGAAGGCGGCUCACUGGUCCGGUACUGACGCUGAGGUGCGAAAGCGUGGGGAGCAAACAGG
rnacentral:rRNA from 1 species